UUUUUUUUUCCUCCUUU
rnacentral:sRNA from 1 species